CACAGCAAAGACAAAGGCCAGAAGCAAACUGUUGUGGGGUGGUGAGCGGAUGGAGGCUGCUGGGAAAGGCAGGGAGCAGAAUCCGAGAGUCAAUCAGCAGGGCCAGGAAGAAGAUAUCUAACCUUUCACCUCCAAAACGAACAUUGAAAGUACAGAAACACAAGAUUGGCUGUUUUCUAAGAGGGAGAAUGAAAAGCUGGGAGUCCUCUUGGUGGCCAGACAGGAAACUUGUCUCCCAGGAAGAGACUUCACUCUGUUAGACUGCCUGGCAGGACGCACUGGAGCCCCAAUAACAACAGCGGUCAGUGAUGGGCAGGAUGGCACCUGAACCAAGCCUGCUUGCUGUGCACACUGUGUCCCUGUUUAAAUCUAAACCUCAUGUCAGGACUCUGAAGAUGGAGUUAGUAGGAUGUGUUUGUUCCUCUUGAAAUGGAACCACCUUGCACAAAUCUUCCGGUUGACCCGUUGCAGGUAGAUGGCUUAUCCUGGUUCAUUCAGGCUGCCAGGGCCCUUCCAGAUGCUGGUCCUCAACACAUCAGUAACAAUAGGACAGAGAGGUCACCAGGAAACUGGCUUCUCACUAUGGACUGGAGACCUGUAGCAAGGACUUCCAAACAAGCCAUCAGAUGGCCCCACAGAACAUGAGGCCUCAGUGUUUGACUUUUUUUUCCUGCCAUCUGGAAUGUCAAGGUCCCUAUUCCAAGUACAUUUUUUCCUUAGCUACACAGCCAGGCUUUCCUAAAUAUCCACAGUUAUGUGGCCCUUUUGUUGUGGCUUCAGUUUCCUGUGUAUCCUCAACACAAGAGAACAGAGGACCAGGAGGAGAGGGGAAAAUGAAAAGUUGUUUGCUUUCCUGUCAUGCCCCAGUGAACCCACGACUCCCCCACCCCUCACAGACCUGGGAAAGACCCAGAAUGCCACUGUGGUCAGAACAUGCUGUAUUUGAUUCAUUUUCAUUUUUAAGAUAAAAAGUUUUAUUUCAGAGAGAAACACAAAGCCCUGGGUGUUAUGGAUCAGCCAGGAUUUGACAGGGUUCUGGGACUUUCAAACUGUACAAAAUAAAUUGUAUCAUCCCUUGAUAACCCAAAGGACACAGUGGCCACAUCCUAACCCAGGGUCCCCCACCCUGGACCCCAGCUCUGCUCCUCAUGGGCUGCAGGAAGACUUGUAGCACUCUUGUCUCAUUUAGGCCACUUAAUUAUCAGAUGUGACUGUGUCUCCCCAUGCCCGUGUGAGGGUUAAUACUGACUGUCAGCUUUCCAGGUCCUACAGUCACCUAGGAGACAAACAUCUGGGCAUCCGUGUAAUGAAGUUUCUAGAUCGGGUUAACUGAACUGGGACAAUCCAUCCUAAUUAUGGUGGUACCACUCUGCAAGCUGCCGCCCCGGACUGAAUGAAAAGGAGAAAGUGAGCCAAGCGUCCAUCUCUCUCUGCUUCCUGAAUUUGAAUGCAAAGUAACCAACCUGCUUCACACCUCUGCCUUCUCUGCAGUGAUGGGCUACACCCUCCAUCCUUGAGCCAAAAAUAAACCCUUCCUUGCUUA